rnacentral:rRNA from 1 species
AUUGAACGCUGGCGGCAGGCCUAACACAUGCAAGUCGAGCGGCAGCACGGGAAGCUUGCUUCCUGGUGGCGAGCGGCGGACGGGUGAGUAAUGCAUAGGAAUCUGCCCGAUAGUGGGGGAUAACCUGGGGAAACCCAGGCUAAUACCCCAUACGUCCUACGGGAGAAAGCAGGGGCUCUUCGGACCUUGCGCUAUCGGAUGAGCCUAUGUCGGAUUAGCUGGUUGGUGAGGUAAUGGCUCACCAAGGCGACGAUCCGUAGCUGGUCUGAGAGGAUGAUCAGCCACAUCGGGACUGAGACACGGCCCGAACUCCUACGGGAGGCAGCAGUGGGGAAUAUUGGACAAUGGGCGCAAGCCUGAUCCAGCCAUGCCGCGUGUGUGAAGAAGGCCCUCGGGUUGUAAAGCACUUUCAGUGGGGAAGAAAGCCUUGGGGCUAAUACCCUCGAGGAAGGACAUCACCCACAGAAGAAGCACCGGCUAACUCCGUGCCAGCAGCCGCGGUAAUACGGAGGGUGCGAGCGUUAAUCGGAAUUACUGGGCGUAAAGCGCGCGUAGGUGGCUUGAUAAGCCGGUUGUGAAAGCCCCGGGCUCAACCUGGGAACGGCAUCCGGAACUGUCAGGCUAGAGUGCAGGAGAGGAAGGUAGAAUUCCCGGUGUAGCGGUGAAAUGCGUAGAGAUCGGGAGGAAUACCAGUGGCGAAGGCGGCCUUCUGGACUGACACUGACACUGAGGUGCGAAAGCGUGGGUAGCAAACAGGAUUAGAUACCCUGGUAGUCCACGCCGUAAACGAUGUCGACUAGCCGUUGGGAGCCUCGAGUUCUUAGUGGCGCAGUUAACGCGAUAAGUCGACCGCCUGGGGAGUACGGCCGCAAGGUUAAAACUCAAAUGAAUUGACGGGGGCCCGCACAAGCGGUGGAGCAUGUGGUUUAAUUCGAUGCAACGCGAAGAACCUUACCUACCCUUGACAUCGUGCGAACUUGGUAGAGAUACCUUGGUGCCUUCGGGAACGCACAGACAGGUGCUGCAUGGCUGUCGUCAGCUCGUGUUGUGAAAUGUUGGGUUAAGUCCCGUAACGAGCGCAACCCUUGUCCCUAUUUGCCAGCGAUUCGGUCGGGAACUCUAGGGAGACUGCCGGUGACAAACCGGAGGAAGGUGGGGACGACGUCAAGUCAUCAUGGCCCUUACGGGUAGGGCUACACACGUGCUACAAUGGUCGGUACAAAGGGUUGCAAAGCGGCGACGUGGAGCUAAUCCCAGAAAGCUGAUCUCAGUCCGGAUCGGAGUCUGCAACUCGACUCCGUGAAGUCGGAAUCGCUAGUAAUCGUGAAUCAGAAUGUCACGGUGAAUACGUUCCCGGGCCUUGUACACACCGCCCGUCACACCAUGGGAGUGGACUGCACCAGAAGUGGUUAGCCUAACUUCGGAGGGCGAUCACCACGGUGUGGUUCAUGACUGGGGUGAAGUCGUAACAAGGUAGCCGUAGGGGAACC